rnacentral:rRNA from 1 species
GACGAACGCUGGCGGCGUGCUUAACACAUGCAAGUCGAACGGAAAGACCCUGCUUUUGUGGGGUGAUCGAGUGGCGAACGGGUGAGUAACACGUGAGUAACCUGCCCUUGACUUUGGGAUAACUUCAGGAAACUGGGGCUAAUACCGGAUAGGAGAUCCUGCUGCAUGGUGGGGGUUGGAAAGUUUCGGCGGGUGGGGAUGGACUCGCGGCUUAUCAGCUAGUUGGUGGGGUAGUGGCUUACCAAGGCUUUGACGGGUAGCCGGCCUGAGAGGGUGAACGGCCACAAUGGGACUGAGAGACGGCCCAGACUCCUACGGGAGGCAGCAGUGGGGAAUAUUGCACAAUGGGCGGAAGCCUGAUGCAGCGACGCCGCGUGCGUGAUGACGUCCUUCGGGUUGUAAACCGCUUUCGCCUGUUACGAAGCGUGAGUGACGGUAAUGGGUAAAGAAGCACCGGCUAACUACGUG